rnacentral:rRNA from 1 species
UGCAGUCGAACGGCAGCACGGAGAGCUUGCUCUCUGGUGGCGAGUGGCGAACGGGUGAGUAAUAUAUCGGAACGUGUCCAAUAAUGGGGGAUAACGAGUCGAAAGAUUCGCUAAUACCGCAUACGCCCUACGGGGGAAAGCAGGGGAUCGUAAGACCUUGCGUUAAUGGAGCGGCCGAUAUCUGAUUAGCUUGUUGGUGAGGUAAAGGCUCACCAAGGCGACGAUCAGUAGCUGGUUUGAGAGAACGACCAGCCACACUGGAACUGAGACACGGUCCAGACUCCUACGGGAGGCAGCAGUGGGGAAUUUUGGACAAUGGGGGCAACCCUGAUCCAGCCAUUCCGCGUGAGUGAAGAAGGCCUUCGGGUUGUAAAGCUCUUUCGCAAGGGAAGAAAACUUAUGAUCGAAUAAAUCAUGAGGUUGACGGUACCUUGAUAAGAAGCACCGGCUAACUACGUGCCAGCAGCCGCGGUAAUACGUAGGGUGCGAGCGUUAAUCGGAAUUACUGGGCGUAAAGCGUGCGCAGGCGGUUUUGUAAGUCGGAUGUGAAAUCCCCGGGCUCAACCUGGGAACUGCGUUCGAAACUGCAAGGCUAGAGUGUGUCAGAGGGGGGUAGAAUUCCACGUGUAGCAGUGAAAUGCGUGGAGAUGUGGAGGAAUACCAAUGGCGAAGGCAGCCCCCUGGGAUAACACUGACGCUC